ensembl:miRNA Mir6377 microRNA 6377
CGUUGCACAUAGAAGAGAAACCUGAAGUAAUUGUCUUUGUGAGUCUGGUUUAUUUUUCUUAACAUAAUAAUAUUCAGAGGGUCGACACUUCAUUUGUCUUCGUGUCUGCAUCA